GACGAACGCUGGCGGCGUGCUUAACACAUGCAAGUCGAACGGAAAGGCCCUGCUUUUGUGGGGUGCUCGAGUGGCGAACGGGUGAGUAACACGUGAGUAACCUGCCCUUGACUUUGGGGUAACUUCAGGAAACUGGGGCUAAUACCGGAUAGGAGAUCCUGCUGCAUGGUGGGGGUUGGAAAGUUUCGGCGGUUGGGGAUGUACUCGCGGGUUCUCAGCCUGUUGGUGGGGUAGUGGCUUACCAAGGCUUUGACGGGUAGGCGGCAUGAGAGGGUGACCGGCGACAUUGGGACUGAGAGACGGCCCAGACUCCUACGGGAGGCAGCAGUGGGGAAUAUGGCACAAUGGGCGGAAGUCUGAUGCAGCAACGCCGCGUGCGGGAUGACGGCCUUCGGGUUGUAAACAGCUUUCGCCUGUGACGAAGCGUGAGUGACGGUAAUGGGUAAAGAAGCACCGGCUAACUACGUG
rnacentral:rRNA from 1 species